rnacentral:rRNA from 1 species
GGCGAGUGGCGAACGGGUGAGUAAUACAUCGGAACGUGUCCUGGAGUGGGGGAUAGCCCGGCGAAAGCCGGAUUAAUACCGCAUACGAUCUUGGGAUGAAAGCGGGGGACCGAAAGGCCUCGCGCUCAAGGGGCGGCCGAUGGCAGAUUAGCUAGUUGGUGGGGUAAAGGCCUACCAAGGCGACGAUCUGUAGCUGGUCUGAGAGGACGACCAGCCACACUGGGACUGAGACACGGCCCAGACUCCUACGGGAGGCAGCAGUGGGGAAUUUUGGACAAUGGGGGCAACCCUGAUCCAGCAAUGCCGCGUGUGUGAAGAAGGCCUUCGGGUUGUAAAGCACUUUUGUCCGGAAAGAAAACCUCCGUCCUAAUACGGUGGGGGGAUGACGGUACCGGAAGAAUAAGCACCGGCUAACUACGUGCCAGCAGCCGCGGUAAUACGUAGGGUGCAAGCGUUAAUCGGAAUUACUGGGCGUAAAGCGUGCGCAGGCGGUUCGCUAAGACCGAUGUGAAAUCCCCGGGCUUAACCUGGGAACUGCAUUGGUGACUGGCGGGCUAGAGUAUGGCAGAGGGGGGUAGAAUUCCACGUGUAGCAGUGAAAUGCGUAGAGAUGUGGAGGAAUACCGAUGGCGAAGGCAGCCCCCUGGGGCCAUACUGACGCUCAUGCACGAAAGCGUGGGGAGCAAACAGGAUU